rnacentral:piRNA from 1 species
CGAAAUGGCCCACCCUGGAUGAGUUCC